rnacentral:rRNA from 1 species
UUGACCUCGGAUCACGUAGGGAUACCCGCUGAACUUAACCAUAUCAAUAAGCGGAGGAA